GGGAACCUCACCCGGCCCGGACACCGCGAGGAUUGACAGACUGAGAGCUCUUUCUCGAUUCGGUGGGUGGUGGUGCAUGGCCGUUCUUUGUUGGUGGAGCGAUCUGUCUGGUUAAUUCCGAUAACGAACGAGACCCCAACCUGCUAACUAGCCCUCGGGUCCUGCUUCUGUUGGGCCCGACGGAAUGAUUCGCUUCUUAGAGGGACUCGCGGCGCCUAGCCGCACGAAGGGGGGCGAUAA
rnacentral:rRNA from 1 species